AUGUCGGCCUGGUUUGAGCUCUAGGUGCAAGAUCUCAAUGACCUGCUCUCGGAUGGCAGAGGCUGCUACAGCCUCCUGAGCCAGCCCUGCAACGAGGUCACCCCGAGGAUCUACGUGGGCAACGCGUCUGUCGCUCAGGAUAUCCCCAAGCUGCAGAAACUGGGUAUCACCCAUGUCUUGAACGCUGCUGAGGGCAGGUCCUUCAUGCACGUCAACACCAAUGCCAGCUUCUACAAGGACUCUGGCAUCACCUACUUGGGCAUCAAGGCCAACGACACGCAGGAGUUCAACCUCAGCGCCUACUUCGAAAGGGCUGCAGACUUCAUUGAGCAGGCCUUGGCUCAAAAGAACGGCCAGGUGCUCGUCCACUGCCGCGAGGGUUACAGCCGCUCCCCGACUCUCGUCAUCGCGUACCUUAUGCUGCAGCAGAAGAUGGACGUCAAGUCUGCCGUGAGCAUCAUGAGGCAGAACGGUGAGAUCGGCCCCAACGAUGGUUUCCUGGCCCAACUCUGCCAGCUCAAUGACAGACUAGUCAAGGAGGGGAAAUUGAAACUCUAGGGCACCCCGCUCCCUCCUCUUGAGAGGUCUGCCAGGGGGGGGCCUGGUUGAAGGUGUCCCAAGCCGCCAUGUUUAGGAAACACACUGUACCCCGCUCCCAGCAUCACAAGGCACGUGCCCACAAGUCUGUCCCUACACAGUCCGGGGCCACUUUCCCCCUGGGGAGCACAUAAAGAUGCUUGCUGAGGAGGGCAUCCUCGUUCCCUGA